AAUAGUCAAUAAUACUCUAUAAGCAAUCCAGGCAUUUGCAUAACAACAGUUCAUUUUCUUAAUGUAAUCCAAUACAUCAAUUGCCCCAUAAAUGUUUGCAGAUAUCGCUUCUUUUAAAACUUUCAACUCAGAAAAUAAUUCUAUUCCAUCAAUAUCAGAAAUCGUAUUAUGCUUCAAGUAAUUUUCAAGUUUAAUGCAAGAACACUUCAAAACAUCAUCAUCAAUAGAUUUAAGUAUUUUCAAAUCAAACAAAAAUCCAAAAAUAUCAUCAUAUUUCUGAAAUUGCUCAAAUCUAUUCUGAAGUGAUGAUAGAGCUUGAUCCACUAUAUAUAUGAAAUAAUUGAU
rnacentral:lncRNA from 1 species